UGGACAUGCUCAAUAAAUAUUGCUAAUACCUUUUAUAAAAGUAACAUCUGAUAAAACCAUUGGGUUAGGGGGAACAAAGAGACAUUUUGCAAAUAUCUUUUAGGAGUUAUCCAUUUGAAUUUACUUGGUAAAAGAUCAAGUAAUACAAGAAAGAAAAGUACACGAGUGCCACCAUCCUCAACAUUAGUACUUGUUGCUUUCAAAUUUGUUCCAAAGGGUAGCAUUCUCAUUUUGUUACAGACAUCUUCAAAUGUUUGACGGUAUCUUGUUUCUUUUCCAAAACGAAGUUAACAUUUAACUUGCAUGAUUGUGUAGAAAACCUGGUGCUGCAUGGAGAUUUAAUAGUCCCUGUGUCCUAUUUAGUGUUUACAUGUUUCUUACUCAUUACAUUCAAAUUUUAAAACCCAGAAUUUGUUAAUUCUCUGCAUAAAUUUUGCAAAACGGCAAUUGACAUGGUUUCGUAACGAGCAUAUCUAUCACUGGCUUGACGCUUCCAAACCCUUGGAUAUUGUUCUAAACUUUAUUUGUGAUGCAUACCAUGACAAAAGUGGAAAUUGGGUUAUGCCUGAGUCACUGCAAAUGAAGAAAGAAUUGUCAAGCCGCUGAGAAGUGUUUGAACUAAAAAGCAACCAAACUAAGAACAGGUAUAGUAUAUGAACAUUGAAUGGUUUUAGUUAUUGUUGAGUUGGCAAAAAGGGCUAAUAUAUAGUUUUGUUUAUAUGCAAUUGUGCAGGCAUUUUAUCAGACAUGAAGAUUGUUCAGAUAUUCUAGAAUGGAUACAGAGAACACAAGGCUGAAACAAUGAAUUGUCAUUUAAUAUUCACUUCCUUGGUGCUUGAUUUUUGCCAAAGCAUCUGAUAUGAUCAGACAGAACUAUACUUGAGUAGGGAUAAUCUUCUCCUUACCGGCCAAAAAAUCUCAUCAUAGAGUUUGUUUCUUUGGAUAGGUUAGCUUUUAAGGCUCCAGCUUACUGCAGCUUUUAUGUUGAGUCCUAUAAUUCUUUUCUUGAGAUGAUGUCCCAAGUAGAUGGGCACGCACUAUAAUUCAUUUCUCUGUUUAAAAUGUUGGCUUCAAUGAUUGGGAAAUACGCCAUUUUUUGGUCUUGUAUUGGUUAGAUUUCUCAUUUGAUAGUUUACAAUGUUUGUAUUUAACGA